rnacentral:rRNA from 1 species
GAUGAACGCUGGCGGCGUGCCUAAUACAUGCAAGUCGAACGAACGGACGAGAAGCUUGGUUUUUUGCUGUUAGCGGGGGGCGGGGGAGUGACACGUGGAUAACAUACCUAUAUGACUGGGGGAACAUCGGGGGACAGGAGCUAAUACCGCACAAUAGAUCGAACCGCGGGGUCCAAGAGUGAAAGACGGUCGUGCUGUCACGUAAGCAUGGAUCCGCGCUGCAUUAGCUAGUUGGUAAGGUAACGGCCUACCAAGGCAACGAUGCAUAGCCGGCCUGAGAGGUUGAUCGGCCACACUGGAACUGAGACACGGUCCAGACUCCUACGGGAGGCACCAGUGGGGAAUCUUCCGCAAUGGGCGAAAGCCUGACGGAGCAACCCCGCGUGAGUGAUGCAGGUCUUCGGUUCGUAAACCUCUUUUAUUGGGGAAGAACACCUUCUUGCGAAUCUUGGCACGGAUUGACGGUACCUAAACAGAAAGCCACGGCUAACUACGUG